GGCGUGCCUUUUGAAGAAUGAGCCUGCGAGUCAGCGGCAUGUCGCGAGGUUAACCAUGAGUGUGGGUAGUCGUAGCGAAAGCGAAUCCUAAGAGGGUGAGUCAGUGGCAUGUUCUGGACCCGAAGCGGGGUGAUCUACCCAUGGCCAGUGUGAAGCAGAGGUAAGACUUUGUGGAGGCGCGAACCCACUUAGGUUGAAAACUGAGGGGAUGAGUUGUGGGUAGGGGUGAAAGGCCAAUCAAACUCCGUGAUAGCUGGUUCUCCCCGAAAUGCAUUUAGGUGCAGCGUUGCGUGGUUGUUGUUGGUGGUAGAGCGACUGGUUGGUUGAUGCGGGACGAUCAUCUUAGCGAUGCCAGCUAAACUCCGAAUGCCAAUAAUAUGCGAGCGUGGCAGUGAGACGGCGGGGGAUAAGCUCCGUGACGUCGAGAGGGAAACAGCCCAGAUCGUCGGUUAAGGCCCCUAAGGGUGUGCUGAGUGGAAAAGGAGGUGUCAUCGCGAAGACAGCCAGGAGGUUGGCUUAGAAGCAGCCAUCCUUGAAAGAGUGCGUAAUAGCUCACUGGUUAAGUGGUGAUGCGCCGAUAAUGUAGUGGGGCUUAUAAAGUACACCGCCGAAACCGCGGCAACACACAUUGUGUGUGUUGGGUAGGGGAGCGUCGUGCACGCGUGGAAGCUGUCACGGAAGUGGUGGUGGAGUGUGUGCGAGUGAGAAUGCAGGCAUGAGUAGCGAAAAACAUGUGGAAAACGUGUUCGCCGGAUGACUAAGGGUUCCUGGGUGAAGCUAAUCUUCCCAGGGUGAGUCGGGACCUAAGGCGAGGCCGACAGGCGUAGUCGAUGGAUAACGGGUUGAUAGUCCCGUACCCGUGUAUGCGCGACAAGUGGUGACUCGGUUGUACUAACCACCCACCACCGCGGGAUCAAUGCUUUUGGUGUUGGUUUGGUGUGUGGUGCGUGGGAUCUUGAUCGUUGGUAGCCAAGCGAUGGGGUGACACAGAUUGGUAGUCAAGGCCACUUAUUGGAUUGUGGUGUAAGCGUGUGGCCCGUAGGAUAGGUAAAUCCGUUCUGCAUUUAAGGGUGAGGCGUGAUGCGUACCCAGAUUGUUGGGGAUGUUUGAUGUGCCUGUGCUGUCGAGAAAAGCCUCUAGCGAUGUGUGUGCACGGCCCGUACCGGAAACCGACACAGGUGGUCUGGUUGAGGAUACUAAGGCGUUCGGGUGAACUAUGGUUAAGGAACUCGGCAAAAUGCCCCCGUAACUUCGGGAGAAGGGGGGCCAUGUGCGGCAAUCACCCCUUGUGCGGUGUGCGUUGUGUGUGGCCGCAGAGAAGUGAGGGAAGCGACUGUUUAUUAAAAACACAGGUCCGUGCGAAGACGUUGCAAGUCGAGGUAUACGGACUGACGCCUGCCCGGUGCUGGAAGGUUAAGAGGACUCGUGAGCACGCCCUCGUGGUGUGUGAGGCGGGUAAUUGAAGCCCCAGUAAACGGCGGUGGUAACUAUAACCAUCCUAAGGUAGCGAAAUUCCUUGUCGGGUAAGUUCCGACCUGCACGAAUGGCGUA
rnacentral:rRNA from 1 species